UACGGAGGGUGCGAGCGUUGUCCGGAAUCACUGGGCGUAAAGCGCGCGUAGGCGGCGUAACAAGUCAGAGGUGAAAGCCUGGAGCUCAACUCCAGAAUUGCCUUUGAAACUGUUAUGCUAGAGUGUCGGAGGGGAUAGCGGAAUUGCUAAUGUAGAGGUGAAAUUCGUAGAUAUUAGCAGGAACACCGGUGGCGAAGGCGGCUAUCUGGACGACAACUGACGCUGAGGCGCGAAAGCGUGGGGAUCAAACAGG
rnacentral:rRNA from 1 species